AAAUCUUACUUAAUUUAUUAAAAUUUGUAUAUCGUCGUCAUCAGAAUAUCUAAAAAAAGAAAAAAUUUUCUAAUAUUAAAAAUAUAAAUUAUGUCAGAUCAAGGUGCAGUUUAUAAUUAAGAAAAAAUUAGUUACAAUAAAUUUAUUUAAAUGAAUUUAUAAUUGAAAUAUUAUAAUGAAAUUGGAUUUGAAAGUAAAUUUAUAAAUAUAAAUUAAUUGAUUAAGUUCAAAAAUAUGC
rnacentral:rRNA from 1 species